GUAAGCAAUAUAAGUCUCUAUGUUUACUUGGUUGGGUCUGAGCAGCUGUGGGACUGGCGAGUGACAGAGAUUUGUCCUAACUGUGGGCAAGGCAGGAAAACUCUAGCUACAGCCAAGGAUGGUUUGAGUCCUGGUUUAAUUCAUCCCCAUGGUUAACUACCUUGAUUUCUACCCGGUUAAGACCCCUCCUCAUAUAAGUUUUUCUUCUCACCUUUGGGCCUUGCAUAUUGAACAAAUUAGUACAAUUUAUGAAAAAAGUCUAGGAGCUAUUCAAUUAAUGUUAAUGAGAUCCCAAUACUAACUGCUGUUAGCAGAAACCGGGGAGGCCUUGGUGGAGUUAUGGGACAUGACAGUCCCAUGAUUGGGACCCUCAGGGUCCAGUCAGAGGGGGGAAUAUGAAGGCAAUAUGAAAGCCUAGACUUGACUUUACAGACUCCAUCUUAGGGAAGGAACACCAUCUUAAAUCUCCUGGUGACUGGAGGCUGUACUCAGUUCCAGGAAGAAUCUCAGGAAUGUGCCGUAACUACUCGAACAGAUACCCUAGAAGCAGCCAAUUAAGAAAUAGGGUAGUAAAGUUUAACAAGAUCCAGACAUUCCUGCAGAUAUCCUGUCUGUGAUUUAUGGCCCUUGCAGAUAUCCAGAUAAUCUUAUCAGCGGGUUACAUUUCCACACCAAAAGUCUAACCCAAUAGUUUCAAAAAAUCACCUUGCCCCAUAUCCCUUUUACUCAAUCUCAAAAUGCCAAGGAAUGUAAUUCCCAGCUUGUGGAUUUUUUUUCCCUUUAGAAACCCUCCUACCCCUGAGCCCCUGGCCACUACUGCAUUUCCCUCCAUCUGCUUAGUUGGAGCAUAGGGUGGUGGUCCAGGUUCAUACCUGAAAAUAAAAAGACCCUUGUGUGCUUGCAUGGGAAACUGGCUCCUUGGUAGUCUCUGGGUGAUUUGAGACAUGGAUACAACAGGAAAGUGUUAAGUUAGGGUUGACAUUAUGAUUAUGUUUCCACAGGAGAUAAUAAAUUGUGGAUCCCAUCAAACUUGAUAAAAAUUCACAUGAGCAAGUGACAUCUCCAAGAUACUUCAGAAGCAGAGAUAUCUCUGUCAAACUUGAUGCACAGGAGACUUUUGGUGCAAACAACUAAUCCUCUCAGCCGGGGACAGCUUAUGAAUUUGUGUGACAAAGGAGUGACAAUACUUCACAUGAUUCACAAGCCUCUAAAUGCUACAAACUUAUUUCUUGCCAUGCUCUCCAUGGUAAUAGUGCAGAGCAAGACCAGCAAUCUGGAUACUAGUGGAGUUGUCAAGGCCAUGGCAAGUCUCUCCUGUGAUGAUCCUGGUACAGAAGUGUUAGAAUUCUGCCCUCACUCCUGCUGCAUGACGGCACAUGCACAGUUCAGGAGUUAAGCAAAGGGUCUUGCAUCUUACAUCACCAGUGUGUACUGGUGACUACGUGAGUGGUCACUCAAUUAGUGCAUGCAUGGUGUAGCUCUGUAGGCCCCCCUGUGCCUUAAAAAGCCAUGACUCAGACCCCACCAUCUCUCUCUCUCUCUCUCUCUCUCUCUCUCUCUCUGUUCUGUUCCCUCUUCCCUCCACCAUCUUUCUCUCUCUCUUUCUCUCUCCUUUCUCAUGCCUGGUUCUUUUGCCCCCCCCCCCCCCCGCUUCCUCCUAAUAAAGCUCUGCUACUAAGUAGUCAUGGCCAUGGCGUGACCUUCUUGCACAGUAACCAGUGCCGUUUAUCUCAUUCAUUUCAGAAAGAAUAUUAAAGAACAUGUUGAAUGGUUGGACUGGUUGUUGGAAUUAUUAUGGGAAUCAUUGCAUUGAUAGCUACAGCAGCAUCAGCUGGAGUGCCACUUCAUAAAGAAAUCCAAAGCACUGAAUUCAUUAGAGACUGGGGUAAACAUUCAGAAGAACUUCAGACUGAAACAAAAUAAGACUGAUAAUGAGAUAGUAAAUGAAUUAGCUGGGUUAAGGCAAGCUGUUGUUUUGUUAGGUGAUCAGUUAGAAAUUUUGAAGGAGCAGAUAAAAUUAAAAUGUGAUUGGAAUGUUUCUUAUUGUAUCACACACUUAAGAUUAAAUGGAAGCUAGUAUGAUUGGGAUAAGGUUAAGAUGUAUUUGUUGGGUCACCCUAAUUCUUCUCUAAUGGUUUGUGAUUUACAGAAAGAAAUUAAAGAAACUUGCAAAAAAAGUUUCAUGAUACAAUAAAUGGACACUAUGGAAAGUGUAGCAGAUACCAAUGCCUCAUUCAAUCCUAUGAAUCGCUUUAAUAGAUUUCUUAUCCUAGCAGGUGUUGCUCUUAUUCUAACAAUAGUAACUUUAUUGGCCUUAAUGUGUGUUUUGGUCUACUUAUGUGAGGUUGUAAGACAACUAGUUUAAAAAAUGUCUGUAUUUACUUUGAGGCUAUAUAGCCUCCCAAAUAAUUUUUAUAAAGAAAGGAGAAUCUGUGGUAGCGUUCCUGCUGGGCUAUACCUGACCUGACUCCAGAGAGUUAGCACCUACCUCUAAUUCAUAUUUUUGUUCUCUUGUUGCCCUCUAUGUGAAUCUUGUCUGAGAGUCUUGCCUAAGCAAAAACUUGGUUCAGGAAAGCCGGAAAACUGGUACCUGAUGAACUGAGAAAUUUGCACUUGGCAUUGUAUUGUUGUGAGCUUCUUUCAGGUUGUUUUGAACAUAUGGAAAUCAACUGGCUAAAGUGUAAGUAUUGAGAAAAAUAAAAAUGCCCUGGGUGAAGGGAAAGUGCUUCAGUCCUGAGAGGCUGGAUCCCCCUGCAGCUGUGAAAGGCUAGAUUCAUUCUUAAGGUCUCUGAGUUUUCAUUCAGUGGUCCAGUCUCAUGUGAACCCAUACAACUUUGUCCCAACACAGACUCAUGAAGUUUAGGCCGACCUUGAACUCAUAACCUUUCUGCUUCCACCUCCAAUUACUGGGAUGACAGCUUUCACUACCAUGCUCUGUUUAUGCAGAGGCCUUGUGUGUGCUAAGAAGGCAUUAUAUCCAAUGAAUGCUAUCUGAUAUGAAAACAUUGAUGUAGCUGAGUUGUUCAUAUGCAGGUCUACACUGAGACCUUGUCCCAAAAACAAACAAAAAGUGCAGAUAAAUAAAAAAAAUCAUUAGAAGAAA